GUCCUCAUAGCUCAACGGAUAGAGCGUGGCCCUGCGAAGGCCGAGAUCGAGGUUCAAUUCCUCGUGGGGGCA
rfam:Candidatus Liptonbacteria bacterium RIFOXYD1_FTLL_36_11 rifoxyd1_full_scaffold_738, whole genome shotgun sequence.